UACGUAGGGGGCAAGCGUUGUCCGGAAUCAUUGGGCGUAAAGAGCGUGUAGGCGGCCUUAUAAGUCGGCUGUGAAAGUCAAGGGCUCAACCCUUGAAUGCCGGCCGAUACUGUGAGGCUAGAGUCCGGAAGAGGCGAGUGGAAUUCCUGGUGUAGCGGUGAAAUGCGCAGAUAUCAGGAGGAACACCGAUGGCGAAGGCAGCUCGCUGGGACGGUACUGACGCUGAGACGCGAAAGCGUGGGGGAGCGAACAGG
rnacentral:rRNA from 1 species